CGGAUUGUAGUCUGCAACUCGACUACAUGGAGCUGGAAUCGCUAGUAAUCGCGAAUCAGAAUGUCGCGGUGAAUACGUUCCCGGGUCUUGUACACACCGCCCGUCACACCAUGGGAGUCGGAAAUGCCCGAAGUCAGUGACCCAACCGAGAGGAGGGAGCUGCCGAAGGCAGGCUUGAUAACUGGGGUGAAGUCGUAACAAGGUAAC
rnacentral:rRNA from 1 species